rnacentral:misc_RNA from 1 species
AAAAGAAAGCGUAGCACCGAAUCAAUCAAAAUGUAAGUUUUUGAACAAUAAAUUAGGGUUGUACAUAACAUUGUUGCAUUGGAAGCUCGCGCAUCUUGGUGUGCCAAGAUAAACACUCUAGCCUAGCCUUAUUCUUCCUGAUUGUUGUUUGAGGUUGAACCGUGUCCUCUUGCACCUCUCUUAGCACUGACUGGCCAACUGUGUUCCACCUUGUAUAUUGUUAUAUGUAGGUUGUGCCACCUAUGGCACCUUAAGACAAUUCUUAAUAAAAUUUCUCAUUUGCCCGCAUUAGAAGCAGGAUCCACACAAUCCAAGGUGCUGUCUUCCACACUUCUGGUAAGUAGGCCAGCUUGGUCUAGUAGAUCCUUCACUCUGGAAACUGCUGGUCUGACUAGAACUAUUUCACUUCCUAUUGCCCUUUCCUUUCUUAAGUCAAAACAGUCUAGAGGAUUGCUCAAACUUGUUGAAACUGGAAAAUUCCAACGUUUCAAUCUUAGCCUUCUUUGGGCUAGAUCCUUCUGAUUUUAAUCUCAAAUUCUUCUCUAUCGCUUGGGCCAUAUUUAUGACCUUGUGAUAUGGUGAACCUCCCAUGGCAAGAAUUAACGUUAUGUAGUCCUCUCAAACUCGUACAUCUUCUCACUUUUGGUACUCUGUGGGGUUUCCUCGGGCACAAAUGGCUGGUGGAACUCGACUAAUAUCAUCUCUCUCAUUUUGGGCUGCAUUCGUUUUAGAACCAAAUGGCCAACUCUUCAUUCAUGGAGAAACCUGCCAUCUGGAUAGCCACUGUAUCUGAAAAUUCCAAAGUGUUACAUAAUCUUUUUACCUCAAAUGAGAAGGUCAUCAGGUCCUCUCCUUCCUUUCCGUCGUAAAAGGAAGGUCCCAAAGCUUUAUAUUUCUGCACUGAAGUCUUUCCUUCCACCAACUGGCCCGUCAAUAGGUGUGAAGGGAUCUUGAUCACCCCAUAAAACUAAAACAGGACAGGAAAUUCUUGGCAUUAGUUUGACAGGACUCGGUCCUGGUGGACCUGUCACGAUGGAAACAAAAGCAUCAAGCGCACCUUCAUCAUUUGCAGGUCCUCUAAUGAUCUCUACCAGUUCCUCAUCUACAGAGUCUUUAUCGCCAUACACAGAUAAUAAAAUAUUCUUCAAUGUAUCCCUUUGUUUUACACGUUCAAAGAUCGUCGAAGCAAUUACGCGUUGCUUCAAUAAAAAAUCAAUUAGCAAAAGCAAAGGUAGUAACAGCUUGAUCCUCCAAUCAUCAACAAUUGCCUUAUUGUUCAUCCCACCAGCACAAUUCAACAAUACAAGCCCUCGAACCAAAGUUUGACGAGAUUCUGAAGCUGCAAUGACACAAGCAAGACUUCCAACGGAGUUCCCUAUUAGUACCGUUGGUUUCUGAAUAACUUCAUGCAGGAAAUCCAAAAUUAACUCAGCCCAUGCCUCCAUGGUGUAUGCAAAACCCUUUGGCUUGUCUGAAGCACCGAAUCCCAGAAGGUCAAUAGCGUAAACAGUGUAAUUUUGUGACAAUGUGGCAAUAUUCCUGCGCCAGUGAGGAAUUGAAGCGCCGAAGCCAUGAACAAGAAGAAGAGGAGGCCGAGCUUCUGAAUCAGAAACGAAGAAAUUGAUGGAAUAUUGGCUCUUCCAUGCCCAUUUCCUGCACUUGUCUCUAAUCUCUCUCACCUCGAUUGACCUCAAGGGUUUCGAUUUCAUAUCGGGAAUGGAAGCUUUCCUUUGCUGGCAUAUCACACUUGAUCCCUUCUUCUUUGCUCUUCCACUUCCUGGAAAUAGUAAAUUCAAGCUAAUGUGAACCUCCGCAGCUGUUGCCAAUGCUCCCAUUCUCUGCAACACUCCUAUUGGAUAUUGUGCCACGUUACUCGUAUUUAUUUUCGUCCAUUGCUG